UUCUUUUUCAGAGGUAUAUAAAAAGUAAGACCUGCCCAAUGAGUGAAUUUAUUUCAAUGGCCGCGGUAUUUUGACUGUGCAAAGGUAGCAUAAUCAGUUGUCUUUUAAUUGGAGGCUGGAAUGAAAGGUUAAACGAGAAAAAAACUGUCUCAGCUUAAAGACUUGAAUUUCCCCUUUAAGUGAAAAGGCUUAAAUAAUUUAAAGGGACGAUAAGACCCUAUAAAACUUUUAUAAUUAGUUUUAUUCAAUGAUUUUAAGUUUAAAAAAAGUUAAAAGGAUUUUAUUUUAUUGGGGUGAUUAUUAUAUAAACAUGUGUAUAAAUAACUGUAGUUAAAAUUAAUAAUUAUUAUUAGAAAAAUGAUCCUUUAAUAAGGAUUAAAAGAUAAAGUUACUUUAGGGAUAACAGCGUUAUUUUCUUGGAGAGUUCAUAUUGAUAAGAUAAGUUGCGACCUCGAUGUUGAAUUAAGGUGUCUUGUAAAUGUAGCAGUUUAUUAAGUUGGUCUGUUCGACCAUUAAAACCUUACAUGAUUUGAGUUCAGACCGGCG
rnacentral:rRNA from 1 species